GACGAACGCUGGCGGCGUGCCUAACACAUGCAAGUCGAACGGAAAGGCCCUGCUUUUGUGGGGUGCUCGAGUGGCGAACGGGUGAGUAACACGUGAGUAACCUGCCCUUGACUUUGGGAUAACUUCAGGAAACUGGGGCUAAUACCGGAUAGGAGCUCCUGCUGCAUGGUGGGGGUUGGAAGGUUUCGGCGGUUGGGGAUGGACUCGCGGCUUAUCAGCUUGUUGGUGGGGUAGUGGCUUACCAAGGCUUUGACGGGUAGCCGGCCUGAGAGGGUGACCGGCCACAUUGGGACUGAGAUACGGCCCAGACUCCUACGGGAGGCAGCAGUGGGGAAUAUUGCACAAUGGGCGGAAGCCUGAUGCAGCAACGCCGCGUGCGGGAUGACGGCCUUCGGGUUGUAAACCGCUUUCGCCUGUGACGAAGCGUGAGUGACGGUAAUGGGUAAAGAAGCACCGGCUAACUACGUG
rnacentral:rRNA from 1 species